UGUGUUGUUGGUAGCCCACUUUUAAAAAACAUCUUUGUUAUUUUUGCAGUUACUUUGUGGAUGUGAGUUCAACCAUCAAUGAAAAGUCUGAACCCAGUAAGUAGAGUCCACUCUGAGCAGUAAUGUACAUGCUGAAGUAUCUUUGUACAGAUGACUGAAACAUUAGAGAUAUUUGACAUAAGCUGGUCCUAGCAUUGUCUCCUUUAAGGCUCUAAGUCGGUCAAAUGAAGUUUAUUCCCCUACUGUCAGGAGCAGAAGUUCUCUUUGCUUCUUUUCCAGCUUAUUCCUUUUACCUUUUUUGGCUCCUGGGUCUUCCUUUUAUUUCCUUUUUGCAUGGGAGGUGUUUUUGUAGAGAGUUUUUUUGGGGGGCAGUAUGUGUGCUAGGAAUGGAACUGAGGGCCUUAUGUAUGCAGACAUGUGUUUUGCCAAUGAGCCAUACCCCCAGACCUAGGUACAUGUAAAUUUUACCAGCUAUGAUUUAUGGACUUUGGUUUUGGGGAGUUAAAGACAUGGGCAACCAGAUUUUAUCAUGUUUCAGAUGCUUCCAGAAAGAUUCAUCAGAAGAAACAGAACGGCCCUCUGGUGAUUGAUUCUGAGUCUGAUGAUGAAUGUGUUCAUAAGAAAAAGAAAGCUAAGAUAUACAAAGUAAACAGUGAAGAUGAGAUUUUGGAAGUGAUUUCUGACACUGAUCAGGAGCAGCCCACCACCAGUGCCCCAGUGUCUCCAGGAGUAAUUAUUGAUGAUGAUGAUGAUGAUGAUGAUGAUGAUAUUAUUGUCGAUGAUGAUGACGAUGAUAUUAUUGUUGAUGAUGAUGUUGAUAUUAUUAUUGAUGAUGAUGAUGAUGAUAUUGAUGAUGAUAUUAUUGUUGAUGAUGACGAUGAUAUUAUUGUUGAUGAUGAUGUUGAUAUUAUCAUUGAUGAUGAUGAUGAUAUCAUUGAUGAUGAUGUUAUUGAUGAUGAUGAUGAUGAUAUUAUCAUUGAUGGUGUUGAUGAUGAUGAUGAUGAUGAUGAUGUUAUUGAUGAUGACGACGACGACAACAAUGACAAUGAUGACAAUGGCAACAAUAACAAAUUGGAAAUUCCUGUGCUAAAAGGGGGUUCCCAUGAUCACAGCCAAAUUUAUUCAGAUAAAAAAGAAGUGGAUGAGUGUGUUGUCUCCCAGCACGAUUCACCUGAUAAUGUUCAUAAGAAGCAGGAUCUUGGUGAAAAUGUCAACAAACCACCAACUGAUCCUGAGGCUGACCUAGAAAUUAUAGAUCCAAAGUCGCCAAAUACUGAAGAAGUCAUAUUUGAACCAAGGAAAUGGAAAUGCAAAACCAACAAUACAUCUGGUGUGACACCUGGUAAGCCAGUCAUGCCAAGUGUGCCUGUCUCACCCAAUGUGCCUGACCUACCAAGUGUGCCCACCACACCUUUUCUGCUCAAUAUGCCUGGGUCUUCAGGCUUAUCCAUCCUGUCAGUCCUCAGCCAUUAUAGCAACCUCCUAGUUGCAAAGGGAAGCAGGCAUCCCAAUGAAAAGGAUUUUUCUGGCAAUAGGAAACACCCAUGUCUGUCUAUCUCAUGUUCCCAUAUCUUAGUAUUUACUGUUCUAUGUGUCCCCUCCCCCUCCUUUUUCCCUGCAUCUUUUGUCCUGAGGAUACAGUGGUACCUCAGUUCAUGAACUUAAUUAUUUCCAUGAUUCUGGUCAGAAACCAAAUGUUUAUCUUCCUGUCAAUUGAGUGAUGGAAUGAAUUUUCAGGGUACAAAUUAACUAUUAUCCUUUCAGCUGGUAGUGGACCAAAAAAGCAUGCGUUUUCAGAGAAGAGAUCCAGUGCAGCAAAAGUUGAAAAGUGUGAGACUGGGUAUGUACUGCUCACAUCCAACUGAACAGGAAUUCAUUGCACAUUUGUCAUGUUCAGCUGCCCACUAGGCACUUGGGGGGUGGUCAGUGGGAUAAAGAGGUCUGGUGGGGUGGGGGUGGGGCAAGGUCUGGCCCUGAAUGGAGAGCAGGGUGAGGAAGCCAUUGGUCACUCCCCCCUCAUUCCCCUGGUGGCUGGGCCUAAGUACUCUGCCAAGAACCCUUCAGUUCAUGGGCAGAAUGGGGCCCUUCUGCCCCCACAGCAGCUCUGGCCUCUGAAGUUUCCUUUGUCCUUAAACUCAGGUCAAAAAAAUGAUGUAGCCAAACAUGACUUGUGGUACCAGGUUACACUAAACCAAGGUAAAUACAGGGGAGCUAGUGAGAAGGCAGAGCUGACCCACUAUCUGAUUUGUUGGAAUUGGAGUGAGGGCAGUCAAGAAUGUUUUCUAGGCUUUUCUAGUGCUUUGGAUGAACCCAGUUAUAUUCUUACUGCUACAUAUACCCUUGCUAUUUUUUUGUUUUUGCAGUUCUGUGGAUUGAGUCCAGGUCUUUCCCUCACUCUGUCCCUAUACCCCCAU
ensembl:lincRNA